AGUCCAGAGCAGCAUGCUGGCGAUGGCUUUGGCUCCUUGCCAGUGGCAUACCCCACACAUGAGGCUGCCUUCAUGUCAACAGUGCCGCAUGGCACGGUUGCUUCACUAGUGCUGGCUAGGAAGAGGAGGAAGGAGAGGAGGAAGACCAUAGAGAAGAAGGUGUUCUUCAUGGUUAACUGUCAAAGUAACUGUAUUAGCUAACUGAAGAAGCUCUACUCCUUGGUGUUGGAGGCAGGCAGGUUGAAGAAAAUUGUGUGGAGGAUGAUGGGUUUAUAUAGACGAUUGGAAGGCUCUGGGACUUUGGAUUAUGUGAAAGUUGAGUCUUCCAAUGCAAUUUUAAGGAUAAGUUGCAGGUGAUUUUAUUGGGCCUGGUGACAGGAAUUGAAUGCCGAGAAGGGAGCGGGUCAUUACAGAUAUCUCUUGGCAAUAGCUUUCCUUGUCAUCCUUGUGGUCAAUCAAGUUGGAAUGGAAGACACAGGGAUUGGCAAUCUGAAUAUUCAAAUGCUGUGAACAACAAAGUGGAAUGAUUUUCCAGCUGGUACUUGAAUGCCCUUGGAAUCAUGCAACUUAAUUAUCAGUUUGCAACCCAAAAAUUUGGAUAAUGUCUUUCAAAGGGGAAGACAUGAAGACAAACUUUCUAUUUUUAAGUGAAGCAAAUCAAAUGCCUUAACAGCUUCUGAAUUGAAUAACUAUCGAUUUUAAGCUGAACUUUCUACUUUGACUAGUGGGCUAAAACAACAGAAUUGUGGGUCUAGCUAGCAAUCAGAGGCAGUUUCAACCAUUGAAAAUGAUCUCCUUUUGCCAACCAUGCUUUGGAAGGUUUCAACAGGUGGAGAAUCCAAAGCUUAUGCAGCAGACAUUGUUGGACAAUAUGCAAUUUCCCAAGAAUGAAAAAGAGUUUACAACUCGAGGUCAUAGAAGAAGAGAAAG